AUACGGAGGAUCCAAGCGUUAUCCGGAAUCAUUGGGUUUAAAGGGUCCGUAGGUGGAUAAUUAAGUCAGAGGUGAAAUCCUGCAGCUCAACUGUAGCAUUGCCUUUGAUACUGGUUAUCUUGAGUUAUUAUGAAGUAGUUAGAAUAUGUAGUGUAGCGGUGAAAUGCAUAGAUAUUACAUAGAAUACCGAUUGCGAAGGCAGAUUACUAAUAAUAUACUGACACUGAGGGACGAAAGCGUGGGGAGCGAACAGGAUUAGAUACCCUAGUAGUCC
rnacentral:rRNA from 1 species